AUGAUUAGUAAAUAUGGUAUCUACCCGAAAAAAGAAGAUAAACUGCUGGUGGCAAAACAGGCAGUCGCAUUGCAUCCGGAACUUAGGGUGGCUACUGCUGCGGUGGAUUGUGUUUGCGUCGACUUUGAAGUAUUAUAUCCAAAUGCGAAAUCCCUUUCUGCGUGGUGGGAACCCAGAUCCAAAAUCGUCAGGUAUCUUUUCAAAAGGACGGCAGAAAAAUCACUGAAGAAUUUUGCAUCCCAACAUUUGCUGGACUGGAAUACCGAAGCUCAAAACAUCUUGAAGUUACUUUUGUUGGCGAAACCACCGAAAUUAGGACUUGCUGAGGGACCACUCGCAGUUUUCGGCGAAUUCCUCCGCUUUAAGGAUGAAUCGAUUCCUUUCGAUCGAUGGUCGGACGAAGUGAUUGAGCGGGAAAAGAAUCAGAAAGCACCGCCCUUGAUUGUUGCAGAGGGUGUGUCUAAAAGUAAAAUCAAUAAAUACCUCGUUAUAGUGGAUGGCAUCAAAUUGCCACAAGUAUCGGAUAUCAUCACAGCACUUGAUCUCUACUUCAAAUCCUUCUUCGUAUUUAAUAUAGGUUAUCCUGAAACCGUGAAGCAAUUUCUUAAGUUUCUGCAAGUAUACGUCUAUGAAAUAUUGAGGUCAGACCUACGGCAUUGCACCCUUAAAACGAAAUGUCUGGCGAAUGACAUAGAAUUAGCCUUUGGAGACUUAGAAAAAGAGCAGAGUCAAGACCCUUUAAUUAUUGAGUAA
rnacentral:lncRNA from 1 species